UCUCUGGUGGCUCAGUAGGUAUAGAAUCUGCCUGCAAUGCAGCAGAUCCAGGUUUGAUCCCUGGUCGGGAAG
rfam:TPA: Bos taurus chromosome 21, whole genome shotgun sequence.